rnacentral:lncRNA from 10 species
CCGGAACAUUCUCUCUCCAGGCAUGAUUUUCGUGGCUGCAAAACAGCGGCUUCUCCAUCAUUACGCAACUGGCCUCUCUGAUCGUUUCCAGAUUGCUCUCGGCCAUGCACCUCCUUGUCUAAACUCCGUUCUGCACCACCAGCAGUAUCAUGGCCUGGGGAGAAGGGGCUGUGUGCUCCAUUCCAGGAUCAAGACUUUGUAGAAAUCAUGUUUUCUAGAUGGUUGUGGGCUGUUGUCAGCAGAAGGACUCAAGGCAAUUAACAUACAGCUAAUGAACUCCAAAGAGGCGCUUUGAUUUUUGAAGAAUCUGACUUGAGAACAAAUCAAGACUAAGACUAAUAUAGCCUCAUCUUUCAACAUAGGAGAGUCGGAAAACAGGCUGAGUCUGCGACACCCAAAUGCCUGCCACCACCACAUCCCGAUGUGGCCACGGACAUCAGCACCUGGCACAAAGCCUGGGCAUUGUAGACACUCAGCCCAUGUUUCCUCCUCAUCACGUGGCCUGAUCCCGGAGUGGGAAGAGGACGCUCACAGCAGAAGUGAGGCUGCCCAGCCCCACCCGCCUGGGGGCUCUGGGACUAAGAUGGGAGGUAAGGGGGGAUGGGAUACUCCUGGGAAGGCUGGGAUAGCUGCUCUGCUUACAUCUUGUGUGUGCCCUGGGGCAAGUGAGUGCCUUCUGUGAGCUUCUGAAGCUGCUUUCGUCUGUGAAACCAGGAGGGAGGGUGGCUUCACAAGACUCCCUAAGCACUUAGGGUGGAGCAGGCAUGCCAGCAUGAUGGCGCCCGGGGCCCAUCCUCUCCCCUCCUCCAUCUCCCUUUCUCAGGGAUCUGCACAGCUGUUUCCCCUUUUCUGGGCAAAUCCUCUCACCAAAUAAACAUUUGCCUUUCUAUCGCUGCCUGCUAGGUGGAGGGGACUUCUGAACCCUUGAGGUCCCUUCCCUCCCUGAGCACAGCCCAGCCCCAAGACCAAAACCACACCCCAAUA